AAGUCGUAACAAGGUAACCGUAGGUGAACCUGCGGUUGGAUCAUUAACAAAAGUGCCUUUGGUUUUGCCAAGGCUUACUGAGACGGAGCCGCAAGGCCGAGUCUCUCUUACCUUUUGUGAACAGUUUAUUGUCUCUGGUAGUGAAUGUCUAGUCCUGGAAGUAUGAAGGGACUAGCCACGCCUACCAGUAAUCAACCUUGAGUAUUAUCUAGUCUUAACUACUUGAAAAAGUAAACAACUUUUGACAAUGGAUCUCUUGGCUCUU
rnacentral:misc_RNA from 1 species